UGGGCCUGCCUUAAUUUUCAAUAUCAUGGAAAUUACUGCUGUGUCUCAUACAUACAGCUUAGCAUCCCGGAUGCUCACUUACCAGAGCUCAACAUGGGACAUUCCCAUGUGCAGGCAAUGAAUGCCCUUGAAGUCAGGGAAAUUUAUACAACUUGGAUGCAUCUGCCCUUUCCACUGUUUAUACCUGACAUGAAGAUAGGCUCAUGGCUGUCUUUGUGGUGACAUCUCUUACUUCAUUUGUGUUUGCCAGAUGUCUCAUUCUGGGCCUAAACCCUGAGUGACAUUCAAUGUGGUCUUUUGAUUCAUAGACCACAUGAUGAAGACUGAUUUUUUUAGAGUUGUGUGGGUUGGAGGCAUUAUUGGGGACAGGGUUGGAGACUCCUAAUUGGGAAGCUGAUGGUGGACACUGAAUAUUGUUUGUUUCUUGGUCCAGGAAUUAUCAUUGCCCUGAGGGAAAUCCCUGUUCUGGGAGCCAACAUAACCUGGCUCUGACAGUGAGAAUGAUCCACAGGAAUUACCACUGUGCUGAGGAAAGUCCCUGAUCUGGGAGCCAGCGUAUCCUGGCCCUGACAGUGAGUGUGCUCCCCAGGAAACUGUGAAUGCCCACCCCAAGUCCCCCUUGGAGAGAUGAACCACAAAUGUGUCACCUUUUUUCCAGUGCUGAACAGAAGUUCAGUGCCAAAGAAGAAUACUUCCCCAACCUGUUUGAUCACAAAUGCUUUGAUGCCCAAGGGUGCAGACCCAUAUGGCACUGUGACCAUUCUUCUCUUCUCCCAUGAAAGCAGGUAUAUUUAUAGUAUUUCAACUGAAUAUAUAUCAUUUAUUUCCUUCAUCUGGACAUAUUUGAAAGCUGCUGAACCAUCCUCUUAAAGAAUUUUCUUCAAACUGUGUUUAUCCAGUGUUUCUUCAUGAUGAGAUUGAGUUUAUGAAUUUCAGGCAGGUAUGGAAGAAAAUUAUUUGCCUUCAAGUUGUUUUUUUAAAAUGAUUUUUUAAUUUUUAUUUUUUUAUGUAUUUAUUUUAUUUUAAACUUUAUAAACUAAAACAAUGCACAAACCUCAAAUAUCACCAUCUUAUAACAAAACAAAGCAAAGUUUCAGAAAGUCAAAUAAUCUGAAAUAACCACUUUGCUUCCAUCAUUGUCCAAGUUUGCAUUAAUGUGCUACCUUCUAUCCAGUUUAUUCAAGAUUUGUAAUAUUAUAAACUGUACUCUUCAUACCAUCCAUGUGUUUUCUUAAGGGUCUUGUUUAUUGCUGCACAGUCUUGUGUUUCUUAUUUCCCUUUCUUGUCAUCUAGUUCCAAUUAGACUACUUUGUAUCCCUCAUAUCCACUUUCAAAUAUUGCCUCCUCUUCUGAAAUUUUUUUGUAAUUAAAAUUUUUAUAAAUUUUCCCCCUUAUUUUUCAAGGUUUCUAAAUAUCCUUCC